AAGCUUAGAAGCAGCUUAAUUCAGAGGGAAACCCACCCUAGAAACCAGUUGAGCUAAUCUUUUACAUAUGAAAUAUUGAAACAUAUAGAUAGAAAACAUAUAAUAUAUGGCUUCUUCUCUACCCUGUUUCUGUGCUGCAAUCAAGCUCAAAUCCUCUCUGAAACUGAAUAAAACUUAUGGAUCUGUACAAGCAAGAGCUCAAAGCUUUAGAGAUGAAGAGAGGUAUUCAAGCAAUAUGGUGGAUGAAAAUAUGAAGAUUUUAAUAGAGAGAAUGGAGGUUGUGAGAAAGAAGGAAAAACUGGAAAGGUGUUGCAGAGGGCAGGUGGGAUGGAAUUAUUCAAAAUGCUAUGAUUACAAAGUCAAAAGAGACAAACAGUUGGUGAAGAUGGUUGAAGUUGCGGGAGUCAUUGGUGGGUCUUUAGGAUUCACCUUCUUCACAGGAAUACUAUUUCUCUGCCUUGUUUCUCUCCUUGUCCAUUUCAAUCAAAUUAUUAGUUUCUGAAAAAUUCAAUUUCCGUUUUCCAAUACUACUACCACUGACUUAUUCAAGCUCCAAGUUACAGGAAAUGUACAGUACUAGCUACUGCGUAUUAUAUUGUCAUUUUUCAGUGUCUCUGCAUAUGCAGGUAGUCGAAAUAAAAAAUUUUCUAAAUUGAAUUCUUUUA